rnacentral:rRNA from 1 species
AUGUCCUCGCCGCCACCGGAGCCGUGUUCUGGUUUCGGAACACCAAACUUCCCCUUUCAGGCCAACUCGCAAGGGACAAGUGGUGAGUCCAGGAUGCCAGGUUAUCAUUUCUUCAAGCAGGCUACCGGUGAAUUUGGCAAGGGCCAAUUUGGAAAAGUUUACAAGGCAUAUCUUCCAACCGGGGAAGUGAUCGCCGUGAAGCUGCUCCAUCAGAUGUCAAAGUUUGAUGACGAGCAAUUCUCACAUCAUUGUACACAACUUAUGAGCACCAACCAUAAGAAUCUUGUGAGACUAUUGGGCUAUUCCUACGGAGAACAUGAAGAAUCACAUCUGUACGAUGGGAGAGUAAUACGCGGUGUAUACAAACGCAGGUUAAUCGGCUUCGAGUAUGUACCCGGCGGAAGUCUUGCCAAUUUUCUUUCAGAACAACAUCUCGGAUGGAGUAUACGCUUCAAAAUAAUAAAGGAGAUCUAUGAGGGUUUACAAUACCUUCAGGAAGCUGGCAUUGUGCACUUUAAUCUCAACCCAGGUAAUAUAUUGCUAGACAAUGGAAAGAUACCAAAAAUCACAGAGUUUGGUUUAUAUGAGAUGUUCAAGGCAGUAAACGACGGAGCCACAGUUACUCGAGGGUGUACUUACAGAUUGAGAUAUAUGGCACCAGAAAUAUAUUGCUAUGGAAAAAUGUCAGAACGGUCUAACAUCUUUAGCUUGGGCGCUCUAAUUAAAAGUAUAAUGGCUGGAACUACAGACUCGAGCAUUCAUCACAUGGAUGGUCCUAAAUGUGUUGAGCAUGUACACAAAAGCUGGAGGAAAAGGCUACAAGAGAUAAGGAGGUAUCGCUCAUUUGAAGCAGAUUGCCAGCAAGUGAGCACUUGUAUCGGAAUCGCAGUAGCCUGCAUGCACAGAGACCCAGGUGAAAGGCCACUGAUGAAGGAUAUUGUUCGUAAACUAUAUGAAGUAGAAACUAGGGAAGAUUACCUGUCGUCGCGGGUAGAACAGGCUGUUCAUGAUUAUGAAGUCAGGAGAAUAUCAUUCCAAGAGAUGGAACACGUCACGAGUAAUUUCUCUCAAAAACUUGGUCAUGAUGGCUUAGGUGCUGUUUAUAAGCAGUUGAGCAGGGAAAGCUUGAAGAUGGGGAAGUGA